AAUGACUGAAGAAUGCCAAAGCAACCAGGGAUAUUUUCUCAUGCGGGUCAGGGAUGCUUGGAGAACACCUCACACUAGUCCUCAAGAUCUUUCCUGAGAUCCUCUAAGGCUUGAAGACAUCUAAUCCCAAUUGAAGUAACUGCAUGGGGAAAAACAAGAGCAACAACAACAAACAGCUUCACUCUUCUUGGUGGAAACAUGCAGUUGUACCAAGAGAGGCCGGUUCUCCUUCUUUCACAUAGUACUGAACAGAUGGUAAGUUCUCCAUACCUGUUAGAUGCAUACAAGAGCCAAUGAACAAGAAGUAGAAGACAUGGCAGCUAAUGUCUGGACUAUAAUUUUCUUCGUUCCACUGACUUUAUGUGGCUGUGGUCUAGGAAGUGGA